rnacentral:misc_RNA from 1 species
GCUACUACCGAUGGAAUGGUUUAGUGAGGACUCCUGAUUGGCGCCGCCGCCCCGGCAACGGAGCAGCGGACUGCCGAAAAGUUGUUCAAACUUGAUCAUUUAGAGGAAGUAAAAGUCGUAACAAGGUUUCCGUAGGUGAACCUGCAGAAGGAAGAUCGGAAGCGCGUCGCGCAGGGAUAGAGUGUAGACCUCGGUGGUCGCCGAAUCAUUAAAAAAAAAAGAGCUAAAGCGUUCCUUUAAGUCUUGUGCGAAAGCCCACGGCCCAACCUUUGACGGU